rnacentral:rRNA from 1 species
AUACGGAGGAUGCGAGCGUUAUCCGGAUUUAUUGGGUUUAAAGGGAGCGUAGGCGGGAGCUUAAGUCAGCGGUUAAAUGGUGCGGCUCAACCGUGCCCUGCCGUUGAAACUGGGUUUCUUGAGAGUGCAAGAGGCGGAUGGAAUUCAUGGUGUAGCGGUGAAAUGCUUAGAUAUCAUGAAGAACUCCGAUUGCGAAGGCAGUCCGCUGGGGCACGUCUGACGCUGAUGCUCGAAGGUGCGGGAAUCAAACAGGAUUAGAUACCCUGGUAGUCCGCACGGUAAACGAUGAUUACCCGCUGUCGGCGGUAGACAGUCGGCGGCCAAGCGAAAGCGAUAGGUAAUCCACCUGGGGAGUACGCCGGCAACGGUGAAACUCAAAUGAAUUGGCGGGG